rnacentral:rRNA from 1 species
AGCGAACGCUGGCGGCAGGCCUAACGCAUGCAAGUCGAACGAACUCUUCGGAGUUAGUGGCGGACGGGUGAGUAACACGUGGGAACGUGCCUUUAGGUUCGGAAUAACUCAGGGAAACUUGUGCUAAUACCGAAUGUGCCCUUCGGGGGAAAGAUUUGUCGCCUCUAGAGGGGCCCGCAUCCUAUUAGGUAGUUGGUGAGGUAAUGGCUCACCAAGGCGAUGACAGGUAGCCGGUCUGAGAGGAUGACCAGCCAGAAUGGGACUGAGACACGGCCCAUACUCCUACGGGAGGCAGCAGUAAAGAAUAUUGCGCAAUGGAGGAAACUCUGACGCAGCGACGCCGCGUGAAUGACGAAGUCUUUCGGGAUGUAAAGUUCUGUCAAGAGGGACGAUAAUGACGGUACCUCUAAGGGAAGCCCCGGCUAAUUACGUGCCAGCAGCCGCAGUAA